rnacentral:rRNA from 1 species
AGUGAACGCUGGCGGUAGGCCUAACACAUGCAAGUCGAACGGCAGCACAGUAAGAGCUUGCUCUUACGGGUGGCGAGUGGCGGACGGGUGAGGAAUACAUCGGAAUCUACUUUUUCGUGGGGGAUAACGUAGGGAGACUUACGCUAAUACCGCAUACGACCUACGGGUGAAAGCAGGGGAUCUUCGGACCUUGCGCGAUUGAAUGAGCCGAUGUCGGAUUAGCUAGUUGGCGGGGUAAAGGCCCACCAAGGCGACGAUCCGUAGCUGGUCUGAGAGGAUGAUCAGCCACACUGGAACUGAGACACGGUCCAGACUCCUACGGGAGGCAGCAGUGGGGAAUAUUGGACAAUGGGCGCAAGCCUGAUCCAGCCAUACCGCGUGGGUGAAGAAGGCCUUCGGGUUGUAAAGCCCUUUUGUUGGGAAAGAAAAGCAGCAGGUUAAUACCCCGCUGCUCUGACGGUACCCAAAGAAUAAGCACCGGCUAACUUCGUG